rnacentral:rRNA from 1 species
AGAGUUUGAUCCUGGCUCAGGAUGAACGCUAGCGACAGGCUUAACACAUGCAAGUCGAGGGGCAUCGGGGCGAGGAGCAAUCCUUGCCGCCGGCGACCGGCGCACGGGUGAGUAACGCGUAUGCGACCUGCCCGUUGCAGGGGGAUAAUCGGGAGAAAUCCCGUCUAAUACCGCGUAAUGCCGCGGGGCUGCAUGGCCCUGCGGCCAAAGGAAGCGAUUCCGGCAACGGAUGGGCAUGCGUGACAUUAGCUAGUUGGCGGGGCAACGGCCCACCAAGGCGACGAUAUCUAGGGGUUCUGAGAGGAAGGUCCCCCACACUGGUACUGAGACACGGACCAGACUCCUACGGGAGGCAGCAGUGAGGAAUAUUGGUCAAUGGGCGCGAGCCUGAACCAGCCAAGUCGCGUGAGAGAUGACGGCCCUACGGGUUGUAAACCUCUUUUGUCGGGGAGCAAAUUCCGCCACGCGUGGCGGAGUCGAGAGUACCCGAAGAAAAAGCAUCGGCUAACUCCGUGCCAGCAGCCGCGGUAAUACGGAGGAUGCGAGCGUUAUCCGGAUUUAUUGGGUUUAAAGGGUGCGUAGGCGGACUGUCAAGUCAGCGGUAAAAUACGGGGGCUCAACCUCCGCCCGCCGUUGAAACUGACGGUCUUGAGUGGGCGAGAAGUAUGCGGAAUGCGUGGUGUAGCGGUGAAAUGCAUAGAUAUCACGCAGAACUCCGAUUGCGAAGGCAGCAUACCGGCGCCCAACUGACGCUGAAGCACGAAAGCGUGGGUAUCGAACAGGAUUAGAUACCCUGGUAGUCCACGCAGUAAACGAUGAAUACUAGCUGUCCGGGGCGAAUGAGCUCUGGGUGGCACAGCGAAAGCGUUAAGUAUUCCACCUGGGGAGUACGCCGGCAACGGUGAAACUCAAAGGAAUUGACGGGGGCCCGCACAAGCGGAGGAACAUGUGGUUUAAUUCGAUGAUACGCGAGGAACCUUACCCGGGCUCAAACGGGGAGUGACUCAGGCAGAGACGCCUGUUUCCCACGGGACACUCCCCGAGGUGCUGCAUGGUUGUCGUCAGCUCGUGCCGUGAGGUGUCGGCUUAAGUGCCAUAACGAGCGCAACCCCCGCGUGCAGUUGCUAACAGAUAACGCUGAGGACUCUGCACGGACUGCCGGCGCAAGCCGCGAGGAAGGCGGGGAUGACGUCAAAUCAGCACGGCCCUUACGUCCGGGGCGACACACGUGUUACAAUGGGUGGUACAGCGGGAAGCCAGGCGGCGACGCCGAGCGGAACCCGAAAUCCACUCUCAGUUCGGAUCGGAGUCUGCAACCCGACUCCGUGAAGCUGGAUUCGCUAGUAAUCGCGCAUCAGCCAUGGCGCGGUGAAUACGUUCCCGGGCCUUGCACUCACCGCCCGUCAAG